GUUUGAUCGCUUCGCGUAGUAAAGCUGUCAAAUAAGUGAUCAGUGUGUAAAGGCUAAUUAGUGAUAUCCGUGACACAUUCGCUUAGUCACCUCUCCCCGGACGAAAUAGAGUUCGAACUGCUUGUUCGGAAAACGACUGAAGUUGUUGGCUGCUCCGGGUUAGCUUGUGUCGGACGGUAGCAAGGGUAUACGGAGGCGGAUUAUAUUCGGAUUAAAGUCGGUCGAAAGUGACGCUAGUUUCGUUCUUUUGUUUGGGCAUUUGAAAGCGAGCCAGGUUGAGUUGAUUCCCUGGUACAGGCAGUAACGGAAGCAAGCCAAAGAGCCUCUGAGCAAUAACGCUAGGCCAGUUAGUCGAUAUUCCGAGAACAGAGGUGGAAAGCAUUAAAGGCAUUCAUCGGUGCGGAAAUCUUAAUAGUUCGGAUAACAGUGAAGGAUAGCUGAGAAGAUACGUGGCACAUCGGUGCGUAUCGGGAUCGAUUCGUUUUGGGAACAUCGACCGACCAAGAGGAUAAACACGAGCGUUGGAGGAGACGGUAACUUAAGCGUAAGCGGACAACCAGCGGCGCAGGAAUCGAUUGGAUCGAAGGCGCGGGAAUCGAUCGAUCCGAGGCGAGACCGGCAACAAUAGGAGGGUUUGGCAAGCAGCAGUUUGCUAGACAAAGAUUGCUAUCGGAGCCCAUCUCCUAACGGCCCACAGGGGGCAGAUAAAGCUAGUCAAAACCAAUGAACGAAGGCGAAAUGUUUCGUUUCAUGUGGGAGGAGAUGAGACAACAGUACGGACACACAAGCGAAAAUUUGUCGAUUCUGAGGAUGAUGAACCGUUCCACGGGUUUGACGUCGAGGCCACCCGCCAGAAAUGAACUACACCCGGGAGCGUUGCAGGAAUGUGUUGAAGUUUUUCCAUCAGGAAGUUCGAAGGCGCCAUUUGUGUUGAGGCGUUCGAAUAGAAAGAAACAGAAAUCUAGCCAUAAUGAAUUUCUAAGUAGUUUCGAGUAAAAAAGGUAUUGAGUUCAGCUACUAAAUGCAAUCGAGAAUUAUAGGUAUAAAAUACAACAUGAUCUAAAUAUAUACGAAUACAGUCGUUUGUUUAUAUUAUCAAAUCGAUGUUAUUAGAUAGUGAUAUAAGUAUGAACUAAAUAAGGGAGGAGUUGUCAUAUACUCAAUUAGGAAUAUAUUAUAUUCAGUGUGUCUCAAUUCCUAUCCCUUGUAUCGAUCUGUUAAAGAUGACAGCUGUCAUCCUUCUGAUAGUAAGUACAUAAGAGGAAAUUGUAUAUAACCACAAGAGGUUUGCUGUUGUAUAAAAGUAAUAAAGAGGCUCUCUUCUAUUUCAACUGUUAACCGGAUCAGUUCG